GAUGAACGCUGGCGGCGUGCCUAAUACAUGCAAGUCGAGCGAACAGAUGAGGAGCUUGCUCCUCUGACGUUAGCGGCGGACGGGUGAGUAACACGUGGAUAACCUACCUAUAAGACUGGGAUAACUUCGGGAAACCGGAGCUAAUACCGGAUAAUAUAUUGAACCGCAUGGUUCAAUAGUGAAAGACGGUUUUGCUGUCACUUAUAGAUGGAUCCGCGCCGCAUUAGCUAGUUGGUAAGGUAACGGCUUACCAAGGCAACGAUGCGUAGCCGACCUGAGAGGGCGAUCGGCCACACUGGAACUGAGACACGGUCCAGACUCCUACGGGAGGCAGCAGUAGGGAAUCUUCCGCAAUGGGCGAAAGCCUGACGGAGCAACGCCGCGUGAGUGAUGAAGGUCUUCGGAUCGUAAAACUCUGUUAUUAGGGAAGAACAAAUGUGUAAGUAACUUUGCACGUCUUGACGGUACCUAAUCAGAAAGCCACGGCUAACUACGUG
rnacentral:rRNA from 1 species